UUAGUGGGAUCUCGAGUGAUUCACGGCUCUUUGUUGAAACGAGAGUUCCGUGCUUGGCUGCAAACAAUGCUGAAUCAGGUUCAGGCUCUAGGCCUCUUAGAAGUAGCAUUUCAAAUAAACUUGGCCUUGAUAUUCAGUAGCCUCUCUAAACUUCUAUAGCAUCCAAGUUCUCAAAUUUGGCAUCAAAGGUAAGUAAAAAAGUUAAGUCAAGAAUCCGGACAGGA